CCUAGUAACGGCGAGUGAAGCGGGAAGAGCUCAAAUUUGAAAUCUGGCGGUCUCAGGCCGUCCGAGUUGUAAUCUAGAGAGGUGUUUUCCGUGCCGGACCGUGUACAAGUCCCUUGGAACAGGGCGUCAUAGAGGGUGAGAAUCCCGUCCAUGACACGGACUCCCGGUGCUCUGUGAUACACCUUCAAAGAGUCGAGUUGUUUGGGAAUGCAGCUCAAAAUGGGUGGUAAAUUCCAUCUAAAGCUAAAUAUAGGCGAGAGACCGAUAGCGAACAAGUACCGUGAGGGAAAGAUGAAAAGAACUUUGGAAAGAGAGUUAAACAGUACGUGAAAUUGUUGAAAGGGAAACGCUUGAAGUCAGUCGCGUCUGUCAGGACUCAGCCUUGCUUAUGCUUGGUGCACUUCCUGGUGGAUGGGCCAGCAUCGAUUUUGGUCGGUGGACAAGGGCGGGAAGGAAUGUGGCAGCUUGCUGUGUUAUAGCCUUCCGUCGUACACGCUGACCGGGAUCGAGGACUGCAGCACGCCUUUGGUCGGGGUUCGCCCACGCCACGUGCUUAGGAUGCUGGCGUAAUGGCUUUAAACGACCCGUCUUGAAACACGGACCAAGGAGUCUAACAUGCCUGCGAGUGUUUGGGUGUUAAACCCAGGCGCGUAAUGAAAGUGAAAAGUUGGGACUCUUCAGUGAGGCACCGACGCCCGAUCCUGACGUUCUCUGACGGAUUUGAGGUAGAGCAUGUAUGUUGGGACCCGAAAGAUGGUGAACUAUGCCUGAAUAGGGUGAAGCCAGAGGAAACUCUGGUGGAGGCUCGUAGCGAUUCUGACGUGCAAAUCGAUCGUCAAAUUUGGGUAUAGGGGCGAAAGACU
rnacentral:rRNA from 2 species